UACAGAGGGGGCAAGCGUUGUUCGGAAUUACUGGGCGUAAAGGGCGCGUAGGCGGCCUGCUAAGUCGAACGUGAAAUCCCUGGGCUCAACCCAGGAACUGCGUCCGAUACUGCGGGGCUAGAGUGCAGAAGGGGCAACUGGAAUUCUCGGUGUAGCGGUGAAAUGCGUAGAUAUCGAGAGGAACACCUGCGGCGAAGGCGGGUUGCUGGGCUGACACUGACGCUGAGGCGCGAAAGCUAGGGGAGCGAACGGG
rnacentral:rRNA from 1 species